rnacentral:rRNA from 1 species
AAAGUUACUUCGGUACAUCGGUGACAGGUGGUGCAUGGUUGUCGUCAGCUCGUGUCGUGAGAUGUUGGUUAAGUCCCGCAACGAGCGCAACCCCUAUUGUUAGUUGCCAUCAUUCAGUUGGGCACUCUAGCGAGACUGCCGGUAAUAAACCGGAGGAAGGUGGGGAUGACGUCAAAUCAUCAUGCCCCUUAUGACCUGGGCUACACACGUGCUACAAUGGUUGGUACAACGAGUUGCGAGUCGGUGACGGCGAGCUAAUCUCUUAAAGCCAAUCUCAGUUCGGAUUGUAGGCUGCAACUCGCCUACAUGAAGUCGGAAUCGCUAGUAAUCGCGGAUCAGCACGCCGCGGUGAAUACGUUCCCGGGCCUU